UGGGGUAUAUUGCACAAUGGGCGAAAGCCUGAUGCAGCGACGCCGCGUGAGGGAUGACGGCCUUCUGGUUGUAAACUUCUUUCAGCAGGGACGAAGCGCAAGUGACGGUACCUGCAGAAGAAGCACCGGCUAACUACGUGCCAGCAGCCGCGGUAAUACGUAGGGUGCAAGCGUUGUCCGGAAUUACUGGGCGUAAAGAGUUCGUAGGCGGUUUGUCGCGUCGUUUGUGGAAACCAGCAGCUCAACUGCUGGCUUGCAGGCGAUACGGGCAGACUAGAGUACUGCAGGGGAGACUGGAGUUCCUGGUGUAGCGGUGAAAUGCGCAGAUAUGAGGAGGAACAGCGGUGGCGGAGGCGGGUCUCUGGGCAGUAACUGACGCUGAGGAACGAAAGAAUGGGUAGCGAACAGG
rnacentral:rRNA from 1 species